rnacentral:rRNA from 1 species
AAACUGGAGAGUUUGAUCCUGGCUCAGAGCGAACGCUAGCGGCAAGCUUAACACAUGCAAGUCGAACGGGAUGAUGUCUUCGGACAUCGGCACGUGGCGGACGGGUGAGUAACACGUGGGUUACGUACCUUCUGGUGGGGGACAAUCCGGUAAUACGGGUAAAUACCGCAUAUGCUCUUCGGAGUAAAAGCCUUCGGGCGCCAGGAGAUCGGCCUGCGGCCCAUUAUUUAAUCCUAGUUGGUAGGGUAACGGCCUACCAAGGG